UGCAGGAUAGUGUAAUGGUAACAUGUCAGUCUCAUGAUCUGAAGUUAAGGAGUUCAAAUCCCUUUCUUGCAU
rnacentral:tRNA from 1 species